rnacentral:rRNA from 1 species
AGAGUUUGAUCAUGGCUCAGAACGAACGCUGGCGGCGUGGAUAAGACAUGCAAGUCGAACGCUCAUUCCGGGGUAGCAAUAUUCCGGAGUGGGAGUGGCGCAAGGGUGCGUAACACGUGGGCAAUUUGCCGUGAAGUUGGGGAUAACUCCGAGAAAUCGGAGCUAAUACCGAAUGUGACCCCCGGAGGACAUCCUCUGGGAGUUAAAGUUGGGGACCGUAAGGCCUGACGCUUCAUGAUAAGCCCGCGGCCUAUCAGCUAGUUGGUGAGGUAACGGCCCACCAAGGCUAAGACGGGUAGCUGGUCUGAGAGGACGACCAGCCACACUGGAACUGAGACACGGUCCAGACACCUACGGGUGGCAGCAGCCGAGAAUUUUUCACAAUGGGCGAAAGCCUGAUGGAGCGACGCCGCGUGGGGGAUGAAUGGCUUCGGCCCGUAAACCCCUGUCAUUUGCGAACAAACCUUCUCUAUGAAUAGUGGAGAAGCUGAUAGUAGCGAAAGAGGAAGGGACGGCUAACUCUGUGCCAGCAGCCGCGGUAAUACAGAGGUCCCAAGCGUUGUUCGGAUUCACUGGGCGUAAAGGGUGCGUAGGUGGCGGGGUAAGUUUGAUGUGAAAUCUCCGGGCUCAACCCGGAAAUGGCAUUGAAUACUAUCCCACUAGAGGGUUAGGGGGGACUGGAAUUCUCGGUGUAGCAGUGAAAUGCGUAGAUAUCGAGAGGAACACCGGUGGCGAAGGCGAGUCCCUGGACAACUCCUGACACUGAGGCACGAAAGCUAGGGGAGCAAACAGGAUUAGAUACCCUAGUAGUCC